CAGCAGCCACGGGAAUACGAAGGGGGCUAGCGUUGCGCGGAAUCACUGGGCGUAAAGGGUGCGUAGGCGGGUUUUUAAGUCAGAGGUGAAAUCCUGGAGCUCAACUCCAGAACUGCCUCUGAUACUGAAAGUCUUGAGUAUGGGAGAGGUGAGUGGAACUGCGGGUGUAGAGGUGGAAUUCGUAGAUAUUCGCAAGAACACCAGUGGCGAAGGCAGCUCACUGGCCCAUAACUGACGCUGAGGCACGAAAGCGUGGGGAGCGAACAGGAUUAGAUACCCGAGUAGUCCCUGUCUCUUAUAC
rnacentral:rRNA from 1 species